UGGAAUCCAGACUGCUGAGUGCCGCCUGCUUUAUCCUUGGAAUUGCAUAGUGGGACACCAUUCCCUCAAGGAGGGCACCGCAGCACUUUACCACUUUAUUGCUUUGAGUGCCGGACACCACUACGAUAUCUAUAUAUAUAUAUAUAUAUAUAUAUAUAUAUAUAUAUUUGUGUACAAGAUCACAGCCGCCCACCGAUCACCACCGCCAGCCACCCACCGCUGCCUGCCACCCAACGCUCACCCCUGCCAGGCACCCACCACUCACCGCCGCCAGCCACCCGCCGCCACCUGCAACAAAUGGCGGUCACCGUCAGCGGGACCUCACCACCGCUGCCCAUGGGUGCCUCCGCCGACCAGAGUCAGGGAAGACCACGAGACAGUUUAAGGAGAGAAUGGCCCUCCACAGGUCAGCUAUCCGACAUGCAGUGGAGGGGGACAGCAGAGACCACAGUCAACCUGUUGCAGGCCACUUUAAGUUGUACAAUCAUGGUCUUACAACUCUACGUUAGAAGAUUAUAGACCAAGUCCCCAAGAAAUUGAGAGGGGGGACCGCAACAAAGCUGCAUUGCAAAGAGAGGCACGUUGGAUUCAUCGCUUAGACACUGUGUCUCCGCAUGGCCUGAAUGAGUUGCCAUGUUGCCACUUGGUCAUUCGGGCGCUCCGGGAGGUGAGCAUCGCACAUGUGUGGCGUCAGAGGACCCGACAGGCGGUGCAAUGGCGGCUCCGGGCUUGGGAGAGGAGAAGGUAUUUAGAAGUCAAUUUAUAAGGCUGGUGGACCUAAAAUAACUUCAGACAAACUCACUCAAAGCACAAAAUAUCAAACGGAUGCCAUUAAACCCCAGUAACUAUCAACAUCUCCAACAAGGACCUUUUAAUUUAUUGUUUGUGUGAUGGAAGAGGACGUUACAGCAGAGGUACAUUCCCUGUGUGGUGCAAGAGGACAUUACUAGCAGUGGUACAUUAUAACUCCAGGUAAACAAGUGUGACCAUAGACCCCUUGUACAGAACUCACCAUGGGGAUGGAGAAUCACAUGCCAGUCAUGGACUUAUUACAGAGUCAUUUUAACUCUUGGCGGCAAUAAAUGACAUGGACAAGGAGGCACUUCCAUUUUCAAUGUACAGUUUGUAUAGCAAAUCUUUAUUUGUUUGUCAAGCAUAUUUGAGGUUAAGCAGCAAAAAUUACCCUAUGGUGUAAUCAGAAAGUGGAUUAGCUGCAACUCUAUAAAGUGUUUUUCCACUCAAUAA